GUUUUCAGGAUGAACGCUGGCGGCGUGCCUAAUACAUGCAAGUCGAACGCACAGCGAAAGGUGCUUGCACCUUUCAAGUGAGUGGCGAACGGGUGAGUAACACGUGGACAACCUGCCUCAAGGCUGGGGAUAACAUUUGGAAACAGAUGCUAAUACCGAAUAAAACUUAGUGUCGCAUGACACAAAGUUAAAAGGCGCUUCGGCGUCACCUAGAGAUGGAUCCGCGGUGCAUUAGUUAGUUGGUGGGGUAAAGGCCUACCAAGACAAUGAUGCAUAGCCGAGUUGAGAGACUGAUCGGCCACAUUGGGACUGAGACACGGCCCAAACUCCUACGGGAGGCUGCAGUAGGGAAUCUUCCACAAUGGGCGAAAGCCUGAUGGAGCAACGCCGCGUGUGUGAUGAAGGCUUUCGGGUCGUAAAGCACUGUUGUAUGGGAAGAACAGCUAGAAUAGGAAAUGAUUUUAGUUGACGUACCAGCAGAAA
rnacentral:rRNA from 1 species